rnacentral:tRNA from 1 species
CUGGGGCUGGCUCAGUGGCAGAGCACUCACCUCGCACAUGGGAGGCCUUGGGUUCGAUCCUCGGCACCACA